rnacentral:rRNA from 1 species
GAUGAACGCUGGCGGCGUGCCUAAUACAUGCAAGUCGAGCGAACAGACGAGGAGCUUGCUCCUUUGACGUUAGCGGCGGACGGGUGAGUAACACGUAGGUAACCUACCUAUAAGACUGGGAUAACUUCGGGAAACCGGAGCUAAUACCGGAUAAUAUUUCGAACCGCAUGGUUCGAUAGUGAAAGAUGGCUUUGCUAUCACUUAUAGAUGGACCUGCGCCGUAUUAGCUAGUUGGUAAGGUAACGGCUUACCAAGGCAACGAUACGUAGCCGACCUGAGAGGGUGAUCGGCCACACUGGAACUGAGACACGGUCCAGACUCCUACGGGAGGCAGCAGUAGGGAAUCUUCCGCAAUGGGCGAAAGCCUGACGGAGCAACGCCGCGUGAGUGAUGAAGGUCUUCGGAUCGUAAAACUCUGUUAUUAGGGAAGAACAAACGUGUAAGUAACUGUGCACGUCUUGACGGUACCUAAUCAGAAAGCCCCGGCUAACUACGUG